rnacentral:tRNA from 1 species
GGUCCCGUAGUUCAACGGAUAGAAUAGGAGUUUCCUAAACUCUAGAUAGAAGUUCGAUUCUGCUCGGCGAGCA